rnacentral:rRNA from 1 species
GGGUUGUGAGGUUAAGCGACUAAGCGUACACGGUGGAUGCCCUGGCAGUCAGAGGCGAUGAAGGACGUGCUAAUCUGCGAUAAGCGUCGGUAAGGUGAUAUGAACCGUUAUAACCGGCGAUUUCCGAAUGGGGAAACCCAGUGUGUUUCGACACACUAUCAUUAACUGAAUCCAUAGGUUAAUGAGGCGAACCGGGGGAACUGAAACAUCUAAGUACCCCGAGGAAAAGAAAUCAACCGAGAUUCCCCCAGUAGCGGCGAGCGAACGGGGAGGAGCCCAGAGCCUGAAUCAGUGUGUGUGUUAGUGGAAGCGUCUGGAAAGGCGCGCGAUACAGGGUGACAGCCCCGUACACAAAAAUGCACAUAUUGUGAGCUCGAUGAGUAGGGCGGGACACGUGGUAUCCUGUCUGAAUAUGGGGGGACCAUCCUCCAAGGCUAAAUACUCCUGACUGACCGAUAGUGAACCAGUACCGUGAGGGAAAGGCGAAAAGAACCCCGGCGAGGGGAGUGAAAAAGAACCUGAAACCGUGUACGUACAAGCAGUGGGAGCACAGAGCAAUCUGUGUGACUGCGUACCUUUUGUAUAAUGGGUCAGCGACUUAUAUUCUGUAGCAAGGUUAACCGAAUAGGGGAGCCGAAGGGAAACCGAGUCUUAACUGGGCGUUAAGUUGCAGGGUAUAGACCCGAAACCCGGUGAUCUAGCCAUGGGCAGGUUGAAGGUUGGGUAACACUAACUGGAGGACCGAACCGACUAAUGUUGAAAAAUUAGCGGAUGACUUGUGGCUGGGGGUGAAAGGCCAAUCAAACCGGGAGAUAGCUGGUUCUCCCCGAAAGCUAUUUAGGUAGCGCCUCGUGAAUUCAUCUCCGGGGGUAGAGCACUGUUUCGGCAAGGGGGUCAUCCCGACUUACCAACCCGAUGCAAACUGCGAAUACCGGAGAAUGUUAUCACGGGAGACACACGGCGGGUGCUAACGUCCGUCGUGAAGAGGGAAACAACCCAGACCGCCAGCUAAGGUCCCAAAGUCAUGGUUAAGUGGGAAACGAUGUGGGAAGGCCCAGACAGCCAGGAUGUUGGCUUAGAAGCAGCCAUCAUUUAAAGAAAGCGUAAUAGCUCACUGGUCGAGUCGGCCUGCGCGGAAGAUGUAACGGGGCUAAACCAUGCACCGAAGCUGCGGCAGCGACGCUUAUGCGUUGUUGGGUAGGGGAGCGUUCUGUAAGCCUGUGAAGGUGUGCUGUGAGGCAUGCUGGAGGUAUCAGAAGUGCGAAUGCUGACAUAAGUAACGAUAAAGCGGGUGAAAAGCCCGCUCGCCGGAAGACCAAGGGUUCCUGUCCAACGUUAAUCGGGGCAGGGUGAGUCGACCCCUAAGGCGAGGCCGAAAGGCGUAGUCGAUGGGAAACAGGUUAAUAUUCCUGUACUUGGUGUUACUGCGAAGGGGGGACGGAGAAGGCUAUGUUGGCCGGGCGACGGUUGUCCCGGUUUAAGCGUGUAGGCUGGUUUUCCAGGCAAAUCCGGAAAAUCAAGGCUGAGGCGUGAUGACGAGGCACUACGGUGCUGAAGCAACAAAUGCCCUGCUUCCAGGAAAAGCCUCUAAGCAUCAGGUAACAUCAAAUCGUACCCCAAACCGACACAGGUGGUCAGGUAGAGAAUACCAAGGCGCUUGAGAGAACUCGGGUGAAGGAACUAGGCAAAAUGGUGCCGUAACUUCGGGAGAAGGCACGCUGAUAUGUAGGUGAAGUCCCUCGCGGAUGGAGCUGAAAUCAGUCGAAGAUACCAGCUGGCUGCAACUGUUUAUUAAAAACACAGCACUGUGCAAACACGAAAGUGGACGUAUACGGUGUGACGCCUGCCCGGUGCCGGAAGGUUAAUUGAUGGGGUUAGCGGUAACGCGAAGCUCUUGAUCGAAGCCCCGGUAAACGGCGGCCGUAACUAUAACGGUCCUAAGGUAGCGAAAUUCCUUGUCGGGUAAGUUCCGACCUGCACGAAUGGCGUAAUGAUGGCCAGGCUGUCUCCACCCGAGACUCAGUGAAAUUGAACUCGCUGUGAAGAUGCAGUGUACCCGCGGCAAGACGGAAAGACCCCGUGAACCUUUACUAUAGCUUGACACUGAACAUUGAGCCUUGAUGUGUAGGAUAGGUGGGAGGCUUUGAAGUGUGGACGCCAGUCUGCAUGGAGCCGGCCUUGAAAUACCACCCUUUAAUGUUUGAUGUUCUAACGUGGACCCGUGAUCCGGGUUGCGGACAGUGUCUGGUGGGUAGUUUGACUGGGGCGGUCUCCUCCUAAAGAGUAACGGAGGAGCACGAAGGUUGGCUAAUCCUGGUCGGACAUCAGGAGGUUAGUGCAAUGGCAUAAGCCAGCUUGACUGCGAGCGUGACGGCGCGAGCAGGUGCGAAAGCAGGUCAUAGUGAUCCGGUGGUUCUGAAUGGAAGGGCCAUCGCUCAACGGAUAAAAGGUACUCCGGGGAUAACAGGCUGAUACCGCCCAAGAGUUCAUAUCGACGGCGGUGUUUGGCACCUCGAUGUCGGCUCAUCACAUCCUGGGGCUGAAGUAGGUCCCAAGGGUAUGGCUGUUCGCCAUUUAAAGUGGUACGCGAGCUGGGUUUAGAACGUCGUGAGACAGUUCGGUCCCUAUCUGCCGUGGGCGCUGGAGAACUGAGGGGGGCUGCUCCUAGUACGAGAGGACCGGAGUGGACGCAUCACUGGUGUUCGGGUUGUCAUGCCAAUGGCACUGCCCGGUAGCUAAAUGCGGAAGAGAUAAGUGCUGAAAGCAUCUAAGCACGAAACUUGCCCCGAGAUGAGUUCUCCCUGACUCCUUGAGAGUCCUGAAGGAACGUUGAAGACGACGACGUUGAUAGGCCGGGUGUGUAAGCGCAGCGAUGCGUUGAGCUAACCGGUACUAAUGAACCGUGAGGCUUAACCUUACAACGCCGAAGCUGUU